AGAGUUUGAUCCUGGCUCAGGACGAACGCUGGCGGCGUGCCUAAUACAUGCAAGUCGAACGCUGCUUAAGAAGAAACUUCGGUUUUUUCUUAAGCGGAGUGGCGGACGGGUGAGUAACACGUGGGGAACCUAUCCAUCAGCGGGGGAUAACACUUGGAAACAGGUGCUAAUACCGCAUACGGCUUUCUUUCGCCUGAAAGAAAGCUCAAAGGCGCUUUACAGCGUCACUGAUGGCUGGUCCCGCGGUGCAUUAGCCAGUUGGUGAGGUAACGGCUCACC
rnacentral:rRNA from 1 species